rnacentral:rRNA from 1 species
GACGAACGCUGGCGGCGUGCUUAACACAUGCAAGUCGAACGGAAAGGCCCUGCUUUUGUGGGGUGCUCGAGUGGCGAACGGGUGAGUACACGUGAGUAACCUGCCCUUGACUUUGGGAUAACUUCAGGAAACUGGGGCUAAUACCGGAUAGGAGCUCCUGCUGCUUGGUGGGGGUUGGAAAGUUUCGGCGGUUGGGGAUGGACUCGCGGCUUAUCAGCUUGUUGGUGGGGUAGUGGCUUACCAAGGCUUUGACGGGUAGCCGGCCUGAGAGGGUGACCGGCCACAUUGGGACUGAGAUACGGCCCAGACUCCUACGGGAGGCAGCAGUGGGGAAUAUUGCACAAUGGGCGGAAGCCUGAUGCAGCAACGCCGCGUGCGGGAUGACGGCCUUCGGGUUGUAAACCGCUUUCGCCUGUGACGAAGCGUGAGUGACGGUAAUGGGUAAAGAAGCACCGGCUAACUACGUG